rnacentral:rRNA from 1 species
UACGUAGGUGGCAAGCGUUGUCCGGAAUUAUUGGGCGUAAAGCGCGCGCAGGUGGUUUCUUAAGUCUGAUGUGAAAGCCCACGGCUCAACCGUGGAGGGUCAUUGGAAACUGGGGAACUUGAGUGCAGAAGAGGAAAGUGGAAUUCCAAGUGUAGCGGUGAAAUGCGUAGAGAUUUGGAGGAACACCAGUGGCGAAGGCGACUUUCAGGUCUGUAACUGACACUGAGGCGCGAAAGCGUGGGGAGCGAACAGG